UCUGCAGAGCAGGAUUCCUGUCUUCUCUCAUUCUUAUCUCAUACAUUGCCAUGACAUCUUCCAUGACUCUUGAUUUGACCGAGCUGAGAAAUAAAAUUUCAAAGAUCAAGGUGAAUCCGAGGGGGAAUCUGUGGGCGACAGUGGAAGACCUGCUCAUUCAGAUGCUGAAAACUGCCAAACACACACAACGGAAACAGGCACUGGACAUAGGAGGAGGGGAUUCUGCUUGAGGAACAUUUCAACCAACAUUUUAACGAUAUGAAAUCCUGCUGAUGAAGAGGACAAUUUUAAUUUAAUUUCUUAAUAAAAAGCUCUCAUAAAUAUGUUUUUUGUUUUAUUAAUGUGAUAUAUUUCAUUGUAUAUGACAUUGUGAUGUCAGUAUGUACUCAUUUGUUCAUGGCUGGAGUCAUUUGAGCCUAUUUAUGUAUCAGUGCCUCCUGUUAAUAAACUUAUACCCA